rnacentral:tRNA from 1 species
GCCCGAGUGGCGGAAUCGGUAGACGCUGCGGACUUAAAAUCCGUUUCCCCUAGGGAGUGAGGGUUCAAGUCCCUCCUCGGGCA